rnacentral:lncRNA from 1 species
AUUACAGACGUAAGCCACCGCGCCCAACCCACGCCAACUUUUCAACCCUAACAUAGGCCUAAAAAUCAUCUUUUAGAGUAAGGUAUGAGAAUAUGCAUUUUAUAAGAUCAUUCUGACACAGGUGGUCCCUGGACCACAUUUUGAAAAAGAUCUGCUAUGAUAUCAUCAUACUAGGUGUGAAUGUCAGAUUGGUGCUAGUUUAAUAGGCUGAAGGCCAUGACUCAGCAGGGGGCAGCAAAGCUUAAUAGUGGUAGCCAAUUCAUUUAUUCUCUCAAAUAAUAUGUGCCAGUCCUUAAACAAAGUGCCAGGGAUACAAGAUGAAAAAAUCCACGUAUGGUAUUUUCUCUAGUGGAGCUUAAAGUCUUCUGGGGAAGAUAAACAUAGACCAAAGAUUCACAAAUGUAAAAUUACAACUGGGAUGUGUGGGAUAAAGGAAAGGCACAUAAUAUACUAACAGCAUAUGUUAAGGGGAUUUGACUUAGUCUAGGCAUUAUGUCACAGAAGGAAAAUGACAUUUGAAGUAAGAUUUUAAAGAUAAGAAGAGUUAAUUAGGUUGCAUCAGAGGGAGGGGUGGUGGAAGGAGUAAGGGAGGCAGAACCUUCUGGACAAAGAGAAACAUAACAGCAGAAGUCCUGUGGUGAUAGGACAAGAACAGUGUUUGUGGAGCCAGGUGAAGCAUGUCUGAGUCCUGGCAAGUAAGUAGGGAGCAGUCCUUGAGAGGCUUUGCAAGUCAUGUUAAAGAGAUUGGUUUUACAUUUUAAGAACAAUGGGAUUCCAUUGUGGAAUUUUAAGUUGAAGUUGGGCAACAUGGUCAAUUUUGCAUUUUGAAAAGGUCACUGGUUUCUGUGAAAAAAGAUUGAGGGCAGCAACCCUAAAAGCUGGGCUAAUAAUUCAUAUUUUGUAGAUAAGGAAAUGAGCUAUAAGAAACAUAACUUCCUUGAGGUAAUGCAGGUGGUAAAAGGUGAAGCCAGAUUUCAAACACUGGUCUCCUGACUUCAUUUAUUUUAUUUUGUAUUAUAUCUUAUUUUUACAUUUUAUUUAUUUUUCUUUCUCAGAAAUCCUUGUUCUGAUCUGCCUGACUUCAGAGUGUAAACUCUUAAAUACAGUCUGCUGCCUCUCCAGAUCAAGGUACAACAGCAGGUUCUUUUUUGAUUCCUCAAAGUGC